UUUUCUCCUACCGAUUAUCACCUUCAUACGUGUAAAAAAAAAAUCAAUUUUGCUAUAUAAGUGGAGAAACAGCAUAUAUACGUUUAAUAAUUCGUUUUCAUGUGUUCUGCUAGUUUCUUUAUGUUCAUCAGUCUUAUUUUUUAAUACAGAAGAUCGAAAAUCAUUAAUAACUAAAAUUAUUUCAGUAUAUUCCUUGAGUUACAUUUCAAAUUGGGGAGAAAUAAUUCAAAAAUCGAGUUAAAGAAUAUAUUUUCACUGUGUUCAUUUGCAAAUAUUGAAAAUAAAUUUUUCAUCGAGGUUUAAAUUGCUCUUUUUGUUAAAGAAUAAAAAUCACAUCGUAAAAAUUUUAUACAAUGCAUCUUCCAUUAAGCCUAAAUGAUGUCGAAGACAUCGUAAAGUACUUGAAAGCGCAAAAUGUUUGCCAAUUUAAUAUAUUGGCAGACAUUUUGUACGAAUCCAGAAAUUUUACGGUGUCUGAGAAAGGCAUUAAAUAUGAAGAUGCAUUAAAAACUCCCGUGACGCUUGAUAUGAUUAGAAGUGACUGUCAAAUUUAUAAAUCUGAAAUCCGUUCAGGCGUAUACAAUUUAUUGUUUGGGGAAAAAAAUUAUUUGAAGUUCAAUUUUUUUUCUAUAUUAUCACAUAAUGUAAAUAAUGAAAUUAUGUACUCCAUAUGCACAACUGACGAUUGCAUACGUGAUAUGGCGUAUGAUCAAGAUAGCUUUACAAUAAAAUAUAUUAAAGAUCAAAUAUGUAUUAAUCAGAAUAGCAUGUACUAUUUAAUU